GUGCAUCAACAUUGGGAGGGUUGUAGUACUGGCGGAUUACUGCUUGGCUAAGCUGAUUCCCACUGGCCCAGGCAGGAAUGGGUUUGCGAGGCUGGCUUUCAUCAUCAGUAGAAUCAUCACUGUUCAGAUCCAUUCCAUAGUUAUUUGGAUUUAUCUUGGGGGGCUUUGGAUCUUUAUGGUACUGUGGAGUCAUCUGGUAUGAAUUGCAGGCAGGUGAAUUUUCUUUUUUCUCCAUCUCCUUCUGGAGCUGUUCUUUAGCAGCCAACACUUCCUUCUGCAGGCGAGCUGCCUUCUCUUGCUGUUCACGUUGCUUUUCUGCCUGAAUCCUCUCCUCCUCCUUCUUCCUCUCCUGCUCCUUCUUCCUCUCCUGCUCUCUCUCUGCAGCCAACUGUUUUUCUCUCUCCUGUUCUGCCUGCCUCUGCUCAGCAAUUUUCCUGGCACGUUCCUGCUCCUCUUCUUUCUUCUUCUGCAUUAGCUCUUUGUGCCGACGUUCCUCUUCCUCCUGCUGCAGUGCUUUUUGUUUUCUGGCCUCUUCAUCCUGCCUGCGCCGGGCCUCCGCUUCUUCCAUUUUCUUGGCAGCUGCUCUCUUUUUGAUCUUCUCUUCUGCCAGUCUUUCUUCCCGCGCCUUCUCUGUCUUCUCAUCAAACAGAGCUAGCUUCUGCUCAAUGCGCCUUUUCCUCUCUUCUUCCAAUUGCUCUGCCCGUUCCCGAGCUUGCAACACUUUACGCAGGCGUUCUUCACGCCUCAACUUUGCCUCUUCUUGUCGCCGUUUCUUUUCUUCCUCCACUUUUUGUUUUCUCAACUGCUCAGCCUCUUCCUUCUUUCUCAGAGCCUGCAGUUUUUGUCUCUCCUUUUCCUUGGGGUCAUGUUGGAGAGGCGUGUUGUACUUGAUAAAAGACUUUAUUACUCCAUUUCUCCC
rnacentral:lncRNA from 1 species